rnacentral:rRNA from 1 species
UACAGAGGGGGCAAGCGUUAUUCGGAAUUAUUGGGCGUAAAGGGCGCGUAGGCGGCCUUGCAAGUGACGGGUGAAAGCCCUCGGCUUAACCGAGGAACUGCCUGUCAGACUGUAAGGCUUGAGACCGGGAGAGGUGAGUGGAAUUCCCAGUGUAGCAGUGAAAUGCGUAGAUAUUGGGAGGAACACCAGUGGCGAAGGCGGCUCACUGGACCGGAACUGACGCUGAGGCGCGAAAGCGUGGGGAGCAAACAGG